UCCAAGUGAUUUGAAGUGUUCUGGUCAUUGCAAUGUGAGGAUGAGGAUCACUGUGGGUAACAACUCACAAUCCUGCUGGAAGGCAUGGCCUGGAUCAAGGAUAAACUGAGAUCCUGCAAAAGAGAGUGAGUUGCUCAAUGGGAGACUGAGCUCUGUUAAGUUUACAGAUACUUGACUGAAUAAAGGGUGCUUAUCUGGACCUGUAAGUUUAAAAUAGAAAAGCUUGAGGACCUUGGACAGACUACGAAAGGCUUCAGUUGAAAUGAGCAUAUCCUAGGAUCAAGGAGAAGGAUGCUUCAAGAAAAACUUCUAGUGGAAUCAGAAUAUAUUAUGUCUCUUCAUUGCAAGGUAUGAGGGUUAAAAGGCUUCCUUCCAUACCUGAAGGACAGGAUGCCAUCCAGAGAGACCUUGCCAAGAUUGAGAAGUGGGCCCAUGGGAAUGUCAGGAGGUUUAAUAGGACCAGGUGCUGCACCUUGGCUGAGGCAACCCCUGGUAUCAAUCCAGAUUGAGGGAUGAACAGAUCGAGAGCAGCUCUGCUGAGAAGGACUUGUGGGUGCUGGUGGGUGUGAGGCUGGACAUGACCCAGCAAUGUGCACUCACAGCCCAGAACACCAAAUGUGUCCUGGGCUGCAUCCAAAGCACUGUGGGC